GCCCAUACAGGGGGAUAGCAGUUGGAAACGACUGAUAAUACCGCAUAAGCGCACGGUACCGCAUGGUACAGUGUGAAAAACUCCGGUGGUAUGGGAUGGAUCCGCGUCUGAUUAGGCAGUUGGCGGGGUAACGGCCCACCAAACCGACGAUCAGUAGCCGGCCUGAGAGGGUGAACGGCCACAUUGGGACUGAGACACGGCCCAAACUCCUACGGGAGGCAGCAGUGGGGAAUAUUGCACAAUGGGGGAAACCCUGAUGCAGCGACGCCGCGUGAGCGAAGAAGUAUCUCGGUAUGUAAAGCUCUAUCAGCAGGGAAGAAAAUGACGGUACCUGACUAAGAAGCCCCGGCUAACUACGUGCCAGCAGCCGCGGUAAUACGUAGGGGGCAAGCGUUAUCCGGAUUUACUGGGUGUAAAGGGAGCGUAGACGGCAAUGCAAGUCUGAAGUGAAAGGACGGGGCUUAACCCUGUGACUGCUUUGGAAACUGUGUAGCUUGAGUGCCGGAGGGGUAAGCGGAAUUCCUAGUGUAGCGGUGAAAUGCGUAGAUAUUAGGAGGAACACCAGUGGCGAAGGCGGCUUACUGGACGGUAACUGACGUUGAGGCUCGAAAGCGUGGGGAGCAAACAGGAUUAGAUACCCUGGUAGUCCACGCCGUAAACGAUGA
rnacentral:rRNA from 1 species